UCUUGCACAAUGGGCGAAAGCCUGAUGCAGCAACGCCGCGUGCGGGAAGAAGGCCUUAGGGUUGUAAACCGCUUUCAGCAGGGAAGAAACUGACGGUACCUGCAGAAGAAGGUGCGGCCAACUACGUGCCAGCAGCCGCGGUAAUACGUAGGUGUCGAGCGUUGUCCGGAUUUAUUGGGCGUAAAGAGCCCGCAGGCGGCCUGUCUAGUUCGAAGUGAAAUCUCCCGGCUCAACUGGGAGGGUGCUUCGAAAACUGGCAGGCUUGAGGCAGGGAGAGGGAUGUGGAAUUCCCGGUGUAGUGGUGAAAUGCGUAGAUAUCGGGAGGAACACCAGUGGCGAAGGCGGCAUCCUGGCCCUGUCCUGACGCUCAGGGGCGAAAGCGUGGGGAGCAAACC
rnacentral:rRNA from 1 species